rnacentral:rRNA from 1 species
GACGAACGCUGGCGGCGUGCUUAACACAUGCAAGACGAACGGAAAGGCCCUGCUUUUGUGGGGUGCUCGAGUGGCGAACGGGUGAGUAACACGUGAGUAACCUGCCCUUGACUUUGGGAUAACUUCAGGAAACUGGGGCUAAUACCGGAUAGGAGCUCCGGCUGCAUGGUGGGGGUUGGAAAGUUUCGGCGGUUGGGGAUGGACUCGCGGCUUAUCAGCUUGUUGGUGGGGUAGUGGCUUACCAAGGCUUUGACGGGUAGCCGGCCUGAGAGGGUGACCGGCCACAUUGGGACUGAGAUACGGCCCAGACUCCUACGGGAGGCAGCAGUGGGGAAUAUUGCACAAUGGGCGGAAGCCUGAUGCAGCAACGCCGCGUGCGGGAUGACGGCCUUCGGGUUGUAAACCGCUUUCGCCUGUGACGAAGCGUGAGUGACGGUAAUGGGUAAAGAAGCACCGGCUAACUACGUG